GGUCCCGUGGUGUAGCGGUUAGCACUCAGAGCUCUGGAUCCUGCGACGAAAGUUCAAAAUUUUGCCGGGUCUC